rnacentral:rRNA from 1 species
CUUGGUCAUUUAGAGGAAGUAAAAGUCGUAACAAGGUCUCCGUUGGUGAACCAGCGGAGGGAUCAUUACAGAGUUGCAAAACUCCCUAAACCAUUGUGAACGUUACCUUCAAACCGUUGCUUCGGCGGGCGGCCCGGGUCCGCCCGGUGCCCCCUGGCCCCCUUGCGGGGCGCCCGCCGGAGGAAAACCCAACUCUUGAUUAUUAUGGCCUCUCUGAGUCUUCUGUACUGAAUAAGUCAAAACUUUCAACAACGGAUCUCUUGGUUCUGGCAUCGAUGAAGAACGCAGCGAAAUGCGAUAAGUAAUGUGAAUUGCAGAAUUCAGUGAAUCAUCGAAUCUUUGAACGCACAUUGCGCCCCCUGGUAUUCCGGGGGGCAUGCCUGUCCGAGCGUCAUUACAACCCUCAAGCCUAGCUUGGUGUUGGGCUCCGCUGCCUGGCGGGCCCUAAAGUCAGUGGCGGUGCCGUCCAGCUCCGAGCGUAGUAAUUCUUCUCGCUCUGGAGGCCUGGGUGUGUGCUUGCCAGCAACCCCCCAAUUUUAUCAGGUUGACCUCGGAUCAGGUAGGAAUACCCGCUGAACUUAAGCAUAUCAAUAAGCGGAGGA